rnacentral:rRNA from 1 species
AUUGAACGCUGGCGGCAGGCUUAACACAUGCAAGUCGAACGAGCGGCGGACGGGUGAGUAAUGUAUGGGGAUCUGCCUGAUGGAGGGGGAUAACUACUGGAAACGGUAGCUAAUACCGCAUACCAUCAGAUGAACCCAUAUGGGAGUAGCUUGUAGGGGAGGUAACGGCUCACCUAGGCGACGAUCCCUAGCUGGUCUGAGAGGAUGAUCAGCCACACUGGGACUGAGACACGGCCCAGACUCCUACGUGAGGCAGCAGGUGGGAAUAUUGCACAAUGGGCGGAAGCCUGAUGCAGCCAGGCCGCGGGUAUGAAGAAGGCCUUCGGGUUGUAAAGUACUUUCAGUCGGGAGGCGUUACCGACAGAAGAAGCACCGGCUAACGCCGUGCCAGCAGCCGCGGUAAUAC